CCACAUGAGAUGUGUCAAAAAGAGAGGGAUUUAAGAUUUAAUUUGUUUAAUGUGAAAGGGUUUUACUAGGAUUUUAUAAUGAUUGGGGUUGUUUGAUAAUUUAGAUAUGGUAAAACUGAGGCAGAGAUUGUUAAUUCUAAAGAAAGGAGUAAAAUGAACUGAAUUCUGUUUAGAAGAUAAAUUGCUGGGGUUAAAAAGAAGUUGUACACCAAAUUAAAGGGGAAAUUGUGGGAAUAAAGGAUAUGCUUUGGGGAAAAUAGUGAACAUUUUAUGAGUAGAAAAUGUGGGAUUUUUCUUUUUGAUUUUUAGGAUAAGUGGUAACAGGGACAUAAUGUUAGAAUGUUGUUAUUUUUAGGGUAGUGGAGAGCUUUUUAUGAGGAUGUUAAAAGUCUCGCUGACUCAAAUGAAUAAUAUUGGAGAUUAUAUAUGUAGAAAUGAUUUUUCAUACACAUUGCAUUUUGGGGCCUUUAACGGAGUUGUGGCUCAGAGAGUCGUCUCUUGAGGGUCAUAAACUUUUGGUUAACGUUAUGAUUAGCCAAUCUACUGUGAGAAUGACCUGAGUUUUGAAGGAUUGCACACGCUUACAGACAUACAGAGUUCAUCAACACACAGGACAGUAUUGAUUUGAGGCCUAGGGCCUGAAAUUCCUUUAGCUUUUAACUGAAUUUGAGUUGGCCCAAUAACAAAUGACAGAAAGAGGAACUGAAUAGGAGUUUUGCUUGUAACUAAACUGAGUGACAUAUAAAAUAUUGAGAUAACAGAUGCAGCUCUAACUUAGUCCUCUUAUAUAAAAAGCAGUUACAGAAUACAGAAAUACAGAAAACAGAAGCAAAGGGAGAAAGCUCAUAUAUUUUGGUUAAGUCUGAUAAAGUUUAAGUUAGAAGGAGUCAUUACAUUAAAAGCAGCAAAAUGAAAUAAAAUGAUAUAUUCAAACAGGUUAUCACCCAGAAAAUGGGAGUUCAAAAUACAGUUAGAGUUCAGCUUUUAGCUAUGAUGAAGUUUAUCUAGGAGCAAUUAACUAUGUGCUUACACUGAGUGAUUAAAGCGGUUGUUUUUUAUUAUCCUUUUAGUAGAAUAAGCCGUUAUAAUGAUUUUAUGAUGAUUUUGCUGGUGAGAGGUGACUUUAGAUGAGAGGCACUUGCAGCAGCAGGGACAGUUUUGUGCACAGGAUGUUGAUGAUCAGAUAAGGAAAAACAGGAAACGUAUGACAGCAGUGCUGUAAGACUGUUAGAAAGCUGUAGAUUGAGAUGAGUGAUGUUUAAGAUUAUAUAGGAAUAAAAGUCAAAACCAAAUACAAAAUUAGGUUCAUGUUUUGAGUAACAUUAGGUUUGAAUAAAGAAGACAAUUGAGGGACCCAGAAAAGGGACAGACCACUAGAGAUUCACAAGUGUAAGGGGUCUUUCACCGGGUAUGAGUGGGUUCUGGGGUGAGGGAGGAGUGCUGAUUGAGCUCUGCUCGCACUCUUAUUCUCUCAUGCCCCUGAUCAACUUUAGGCUCGCUGAUACUUUGGUGUGAUUAACCUCAAGCAUGAGUGUUCUCAAGUGGGAGCGGGCAUUUUAUAACUAAGACCACCUAGAUGACAUGAGGUUGUCUGAUUUGUUAAGUCACAGGAUGCCAAGAGAGGGUCAGAGCUAAGAACAGUGAUCCUAAAUGUCCAUGAUGUCUGGGAUGGACAGGGAGCAGCUGAAUGGGCCAAGCAGUGACCUAACACACAGUAUGGUGACCUCUUGUGGUCAAGAGGUCAAGAGUGGGAGUGUCAGGAAUAGAAAUAUUGUCCUGCUAUUAGUUGCUGCUAUUUUUAUAAUCAUCAUUAACAUUUCAGUAUUAAUAGUGAGGUUGCAUUUAGAUGCAUUCAGAUGUUCAGAUAUAUGGUUAUAGCCUUUAUUACAGGUCCAAAGAAGAACCAUUUUAAAUGGUUCUGUUGAAUCUAUAAUUUGAAUGUUAUUAAUGCUUUUAUGAUCUCUGUGUAGAGGGCAGAGACAGGAAACAAAACGCGUCUGCAGAGCAUGUUUUGCAGAAGUGAAACUGAAGCCAGAAGUUUAAGUGCAAGGGUGUUUAGUAUGCAUUUAUUGCGGAUUAAGCCUUAAGCAGUUGUGGUAGAUUGAAACAGUUGUUUAUAUAUUUCACAUAUAAGUCAAGAUCAUUACACACAGGAUGGCCUUAGCCUGGUUGGUUGCUUAAGUUGAGGUCAACUAAGGAUCAGAAAAGCAGAUGCAAACUCUGCACGCACAGACAGACAAAUAGUGAGAGGUCAUGACACGUACGUAGCAUACACUGCAGACACAUACACACAGAAAUGCAGAAGUGUGCCGACGUACUUAGAGGAAGUGCACCAGACGAGCGACAGCGAAGAGGGGAAGCACCGACC
ensembl:lncRNA